rnacentral:lncRNA from 1 species
AUGGGGUGUUGUUGCUUAACUACUCCUUUAUAUAAUGUACGAUGGUUAGGUGUUUUUUAUUUAUUUUUUGCUUAUGUAUUAUCUUACACCUAAUGGAUGAGUAUAGUUAGUUGAAAAUAGAAGCGUUUUGCAUAAGCUAAUUUUGGAACAUGUGAAAGAGUAAGUAAAAAGCACCAUUAGUGUGGUGUGAGUCAGUGCUUAUGUCUCUUUUUCUCUCUCUCUCGUAACACUAAUAAAUGUGCUUCCCUCUCAGCUAGCUAUAUAUAAGAAGGUAUGUGAAGGUUAGGGUUUUCAUCAAGGGUGAGAGUGAGAGUGAGAGAGAGUUGAAGGUGUCUGUCUUCUU